rnacentral:rRNA from 1 species
AAAAUAAAAAAUUUCAAAAUGAAUAAAUAAAUCAAAUUUAAUUUUAAAUUUUAGAAAAAAAAAAUUAAAAUAUAAAAAUCCCAUACCAAACUAGCAACAACAAUUAAUAUAAAACAAUCUAAUUCUAAAUAUAGAUCUACCAUGUGAAUUUCUAAAUUUUUUGACAGAAUAAAAACAUUUUUUUAACCUAUUCAUGACAACAAUAAAUAAAAUAUGAUUUAUAAAUAUAAAAGUGCAAAUUCUUCAAUACAAAUUAACCUAAUUUAAAUUUACCGCCAAAUUAUAUAAUUUUAAUUAAUAUUAUUCCUCAGUUUAAAACUAUUCCUAAAUAUUUAAUCCAUAUAAAUAGGGUAUCUAAUCCUAAUCUAACUUGAACUAAAAUUAUUUAAAUAAAAAACUAAUAAUUCACGUAAAUACAUUUCACCAUUAAUUAAUAAAUUUUAAUAAACACUUUAACCUUAAAUUAAAUAUAAAUAUAAACAUUAGUUUUCGUUUGCUUUGU